CAAAAUCGAAACAGUGAAAAGCCUUGUAUCACACUCUUAUAAAUGAGACGUACGGAAUGUGCGACAUUAUAAUCUUGCAGUAAAUCCCAAGCAAACACUUGAAAAUGUUUGCGCGUUGCGUUAGAUUACGACUUGUUAGAUUAAUCCUCACUCGGUUUUCACCCGCCUACUUAUGCAUCCCAUUCUUGAACGAUUACCUCAUUCAUUGCUUUCUUCUCGAGAAACACCACUUGCCUACUGCGACUGAUAACAGCGCAGAAAACUAAAACGUGCUGACGUCUGACGUGCUGUGGAAAAAGAAGCAACACAAAACUAACGAGAAUGCAGCGGAACUGUGGCAGUAGAUGCAUUGUACCGAACAUAGCUAUAGCAAACUUGAUAGCAAAUACAUGGCAAUCGGGAGUGUAUGCUCUUAGUGCAGCAGCACAUGCCUAUUCUUCGUAAUAUUGAGUACGAUUCGCACAAAAUCUAGCUCGUCAGGACUAACACACCGGUUGUUUAUUAUGAAAACAAGCUGAAACCUGCUACUGGGGUAUUGCUUCUUCUUCGAUGUAUCAGAAAGUUAAGCAGAAAUCAGCACAAAAUCGAUUUCUCAGGGUGUGCCCAACAAAGCCCAAUUUUGUGAAACUUUAUUUUAGAGAGUAGUUUUACCCCUUGCAAGCAAUAAAAACGACGGAGAGAUCGCAGCAAGCCACGCGCGCCAACGGUUGUGUUUUCAAUUGAAUGUCACUUUCAAGUUAAUCAAACUAUGGAUAGUUCGUCACUAUAAGUGUCGGCAUAAGCCAUUAUUCCUGAUUAAUAAAACAAAAUAUGAUA